rnacentral:rRNA from 1 species
AUUGAACGCUGGCGGCAGGCCUAACACAUGCAAGUCGAACGAGUGGCGGACGGGUGAGUAAUGUCUGGGAAACUGCCUGAUGGAGGGGGAUCACUACUGGAAACGGUAGCUAAUACCGCAUACCAUCGGAUGUGCCCAGAUGGGAUUAGCUAGUAGGUGGGGUAACGGCUCACCUAGGCGACGCUCCCUAGCUGGUCUGAGAGGAUGACCAGCCACACGGGAACUGAGACACGGUCCAGACUCCUACGGGAGGCAGAAGUGGGGAAUAUUGCACAAUGGGCGAAAGCCUUAUGCAGCCAUGCCAGGUGUGUGAAGAAGGCCUUCGGGUUGUAAAGGACUUUCAGCGGGGAGGCGGUACCCGCAGAAGAAGCACCGGCUAACUCCGUGCCAGCAGCCGCGGUAAUUC